UGCCAGCAGCCGCGGUAAUACAGAGGGUGCAAACGUUGCUCGGAUUUACUGGGCGUAAAGCGCGUGUAGGCGGACUCGCAAGUCGGUUGUGAAAUCCCUGGGCUCAACCUAGGAACUGCAUCCGAAACUGCUUGUCUUGAGUAAUGGAGAGGGUGGCGGAAUUCCCGGUGUAGAGGUGAAAUGCGUAGAUAUCGGAAGGAACACCAGUGGCGAAGGCGACUUCCUGGGCCAAUACUGACGCUGAGGUGCGAAAGCGUGGGGAGCAAACAGGAUUAGAUA
rnacentral:rRNA from 1 species